rnacentral:lncRNA from 1 species
AAAUGAAUACAAAGUACUUGAUAUAGCCAUUCGAUUAACAAGGUCAAAACGAUAACUCCUAACCAGAUCCAAGCCGACGUGCAGAAAAUUAACGCUCUAUAAAAGCUCGAUAUUUUUUGCAGUUGGUGAACAGUAGAGCACAAAACUAAGUAUUGUGAAUUUCUAUCUCUGCCACUUGUUUUCUCGAUUUCGGCGAAACGAAGCAACAUUGUUUCAAAGCGUACGAAAUCCAUUGGUUUAAUAGCAGCAUGACGCUUUGAAGCACUUGUACUGUGGGCAAAACAUUAAUGCCGAGGAGGUCUAUAAGGAAAACCACUUAACUGUGCAAGGCCGGUCAAUCAACUCAAGGGAAAGGGUGAAAGGAAGAAUCUUGCCUUUACCUGUUGCGAAGAUGUACUUCAUGUCAGUACAGCUAGCCAACCAGCUCAACUCGUAUUCCACAACACAUUGUGACAUUAGGACGAAUACAAAAACGUGCUGAAUGAUUUUCACAGCGUUGCUACACCGACACAGACAACUCUACUAUUGGUUCGGAAAUCGUGUUGCUCUGGCAAUCACAUAUUCUCUCCCAUGCACUAAAGGAAGGGCUGUGACUUUGUGAGCCCGAAGCACCAUUUUGUUUGCCGGUAUACAUUUCACAUUCUCACCACUAGGUAAUUUGAACACGCAUAUUGACAGCACAAGAAUUUUCGCUAUGAAAAUACCAUUACAUACACUCAGCCACGAGGUUUUGACGAAAGCUUGUGUAAAUGCUGAAAUAAUUGCGUUUCUUUAGAUUUCCAUGGUCAAAAUAAUAAACUUUUUUUUUCUCCAGGGGGCAAGCGAAGCCUGGGGGCAUGAGUAUGCCACUACACAAGCUUGUAGCAAAAAUGUUGAUUACGUUAACAUGAAUGAUUGUAUAUAGACGAAUUUAAGCUUCAGUUUCCAAAAAGGAUACGCUUAUUUAGAAGCAUUUUCUCUGUAACACCGCUAAGUCUGAUUUUUGGCGAAACACAAAUGAUGGCUCAUUUCGUGAAGUACAAUUUAUGUGUUACUGAAGAUACCAGAAAUCUUUGAUUGAUAGAUCGUCUGCUUCAAGUAAUAAUUUCGACCUGAAGUCCAAUAACAUUUUACAAAGUCAAACAAAAAUUGCACCAUACUAGUUUCACCGUUACUUUCUAUGCUAAAUAAAACGCAAACUAUACUAUUCGUCAAGCAAAAAUGCUGCACGUUUUCUAGAGAAUUUGACGACGAUUGCGGCGCACUUACCGAGAAUGGCUUGUAUAUCAGUGUCUUCGCAAGGUCCUAAAGCAUCCAUGUUUCACUUUACACAACAAAACUUCCUGAAUAAAUACGAAGACAGAGGCUAACGAAAAACGAAAGAGAUGUUAUUGUACGAUGCCAUCUUUUUUCAGGUGUGUACACGCGAGUAACACAGAAAAAGUACUAGAUGCAAUGGGUCUUGUCUGAAGCGUCACCACCCAAUCACUAAAGAAAAGAACUGAUAGCUAACUGAGGCUACAAAACCUCCUCCAGGGCUUGUUUUACCUUCUGAGACUUUCUUACGCUUCAGGCAAUUUCUUUUAGGAAUCGGGUAAAACCCACAAUAAUGAAAAUAAGGUAAGUUUUUACCUGUCAUCGCUAGAUGUCGGAAUUUACAGACGAGCCAGUGUCAUAAAUUCCAGUACGACAUCGACAUGCUUCGAGGCAGCCUUUUCCCUCUGCUUAAUACCAAAAAAAUUAUAGUCAACCGCUAGCCGCUUAUUAUUCUUCAAGAGUGAUCUGAUUUUUUCAAUGUUGUGUGACUCAGUACGUUGCGUGGGGACGUUUCAACCUUCUUCCUAUCCGGCAACCUACGUGACGACAGCUUCCAUCCAUCUUUUGAACUUUGUUUACCUGGGGUUUAUAAAUACCUUGAUCCGGUGAUUUUAAUAGAAUAUGCAAGUCUGCUGACCCAAUUUGCCACCACGUUCACGUCACAACGUGAAACUGCUCAGUCGCAAUUGCCCAUGCGAAUGAUGAAGGAAAAAAGUGCUUGAAUAUUACCCUAUAGUUCCUAAAUUAACAGUCACCAAUCUAGUUAGUUACCUCAUCGAGCCCAAAAAUGCUUUCAUCUGGGGCAGAAUUCAUGACCGCUCCAAAGAAUUGUUAGAAAACGCGUUAAAAAGAAAAACCGCUAGUCCUCCAAAAUCUAGCAACUGGAAAAAAAUGUAUUUGUGGCAUGAUUACUUUUGACUCUCGCCAUUCCUUACCGAAUCUUUACUUUAAUUUAUCUGUACAAUGAAUCCUAAUGUGACCCUCCUUUCAACUGUAGUACGCUUUAACAUUUAUUACAAUUUCCGCCAAUUUCUACAUGCAUAUCACCAUCUAGCAGCGAAAUGAAGAAACAUACAAGGGGCCCUCACUCUGUUCGCGAAGUUCCCGAUAGGGUUCGGCCCUGGUCGCUAUGAAAUCGCAGAAACCGUAUGCUCUGCCGGCAAAAUACACGACACAGGACACCCGAUUCGACUAACGAUAAUCAGCCUACGAUCAACUACACCUAGGUUUCGGCCCCGCGUCCAAUGGGUAGGUCGCAAAAAAUUGGAUCCGGUGGGUAACGGUUCUUGAGACUUUAUGCCCACUACCUACCACCGGUUCCAUUACCCAGUAUCAAAAUCCAGUUAGCCACGAAUUUUUACCCGACUACCCUGUUUUUUCCCCGAUUACCUGGGUUUUCCCCCGGAAUUAGUCAUGUGCUUUCAAUUUACACCCCAGGAUGGCAUUCACCCAUCAGGAAACCAACUUUUUUGCUAUCCCUCCUUUUUUUAAAAAACUUGGCGACAUCCAAGCCGCCAUUUUUCAAGAUGGUGGUGGGUAACCUAUCAACCGGUUAACCUAUCAAAACCAGCCCAGCCUAACCAUCUUGGCAAAUAGGCUACCCGGACUAUUUUUGGCGACGAUCGGUGAGUAUCCAGGGUUUUCGAGAACCGGGGCCGAGCCCUAACUACACCUACAAUCUAUUUAAAAAUUACUAACCAAACUUCAUGAAAAUAAACUGGCAGCUUUGAGCUAAUCUAGAAGGUAUGAAUGACAGACAUACUGAUUUAACAACAAAGAAGGCUUAAAGAAGAAGUCUCAACAGACAUAUUUCGCGUAGGGGAGACCGGACCCAUGUUGGACACUUCCAGUUUUUCACUUGUAUCUCCCUGCCCCCUACAGCAAUUACAUUUUAUUUUUUAAAAAUCAUUCUUUGUUUUUUUCCCCAACUCCUCUAAUUUUUUCAUUGUUUUUUAACGAAAAGUAAAAAAGUUAUAGAGA